UUCAUUUUAAGAAUUUUUGUUUUAUUUCUUGUUUCCCUCCCCUGCGUCCUCUGACAACAGCUGACAGUAGAUCAACGUUUUCACGAUGCUGUGCCAGCUCCA